AGAGUUUGAUCAUGGCUCAGGAUGAACGCUAGCUACAGGCUUAACACAUGCAAGUCGAGGGGCAGCAUGUUGGUUGCUUGCAACCAACGAUGGCGACCGGCGCACGGGUGAGUAACGCGUAUCCAACCUGCCCACCACUUGGGGAUAACCUUGCGAAAGUAAGACUAAUACCCAAUGACGUCUCUAGAAGACAUCUGAAGGAGAUUAAAGAUUUAUCGGUGAUGGAUGGGGAUGCGUCUGAUUAGCUUGUUGGCGGGGUAACGCCACAAGGCGACGAUCAGUAGGGGUUCUGAGAGGAAGGUCCCCCANAUUGGAACUGAGACACGGUCCAAACUCCUACGGGAGCA
rnacentral:rRNA from 1 species